GAUGAACGCUGGCGGCGUGCCUAAUACAUGCAAGUCGAGCGAACAGACGAGGAGCUUGCUCCUCUGACGUUAGCGGCGGACGGGUGAGUAACACGUGGAUAACCUACCUAUAAGACUGGGAUAACUUCGGGAAACCGGAGCUAAUACCGGAUAAUAUAUUGAACCGCAUGGUUCAAUAGUUAAAGACGGUUUUGCUGUCACUUAUAGAUGGAUCCGCGCCGCAUUAGCUAGUUGGUAAGGUAACGGCUUACCAAGGCAACGAUGCGUAGCCGACCUGAGCGGGUGAUCGGCCACACUGGAACUGAGACACGGUCCAGACUCCUACGGGAGGCAGCAGUAGGGAAUCUUCCGCAAUGGGCGAAAGCCUGACGGAGCAACGCCGCGUGAGUGAUGAAGGUCUUCGGAUCGUAAAACUCUGUUAUUAGGGAAGAACAAAUGUGUAAGUAACUAUGCACGUCUUGACGGUACCUAAUCAGAAAGCCACGGCUAACUACGUG
rnacentral:rRNA from 1 species